rnacentral:miRNA from 1 species
ACCCGGAAGUGUGGGGGGGUC